CAUUUGAAAGCUUCUAACUGCAGGGAAUUGAGCGAGCAGGGAGCUAUAUUUCUCCCUCUUUGCUUCUGCUGAUGGUAUUUGUUCUGCAGCUGAUUCAGGUACCGAUUUUAGAGCUACUAAAGUGCUAGAUCGCCCUUGCUACCUCUCAAGGCUAUCUAGCACUUUAGUAGCUCUAAAAUCGGUACCUGAAUCAGCUGCAGAACAAAUACCAUCAGCAGAAGCAAAGAGGGAGAAAUAUAGCUCUAAAAUCGGUACCUGAAUCAGCUGCAGAACAAAUACCAUCAGCAGAAGCAAAGAGGGAGAAAUAUAGCUCCCUGCUCGCUCAAUUCCCUGCAGUUAGAAGCUUUCAAAUGAGACAGACAACCAGA
rnacentral:lncRNA from 1 species